GUGCUCGCUUCAGAAGCACGUCUACUAAAACUGGAACAAUAUGGAGAAGAUCAGCAUGGCCCCUGCACAAAGAAGACACGCAAAUUGUGAAGCGUCCGUAUCAUAU